rnacentral:rRNA from 1 species
AAGGGCAUACGGUGGAUGCCUUGGCGCCAAGAGCCGAAGAAGGACGGGGUAAGCUCCGAUAAGCUAGGGGGAAUCGCAAGCAGGUAUUGAUCCCUAGAUUUCCGAAUGGGGAAACCCAACAAUGGUAAUGCAUUGUUACCCAUAGCUUAAGACUAUGAGGAGGGCACCUGGGGAACUGAAACAUCUAAGUACCCAGAGGAAAAGUAAUCAAGUGAGAUUCCCUAAGUAGCGGCGAGCGAACGGGGAAGAGCCCAAACCGAGUCAGUUUACUGAUUCGGGGUUGAGGACCAGCAUAAUUCAAGUCAGGCUUAGUCGAACUACCUGGAAAGGUAGACCAUAGGGGGUAACAGUCCCGUAGACGAAAAGCAGAGCAAGAUGGCUGAGAUCCAGAGUACCACGAGACACGUGAAACCUUGUGGGAAGCAGGGGGGACCACCCUCCAAGGCAAAAUACUCCUUGGCGACCGAUAGCGUAUAGUACCGUGAGGGAAAGGUGAAAAGCACCCCGGGAGGGGAGUGAAAAAGAACCUGAAACCGUAUGUCUACAAGCAGUCGAAGACCCUUAUGUGGUCGACGGCGUGCCUAUUGAAGAAUGAACCGGCGAGUUACAGUAACUAGCGAGGUUAAGCAGAA